CUGGGUGUGGCGCAGUUGGUAGCGCGCGACCUUGGGGUGGUAGAGGCCGCACGUUCAAGUCGUGUCACUCAGACCA
rnacentral:tRNA from 1 species